AUUGAACGCUGGCGGUAGGCCUAACUCAUGCAAGUCGAACUGCAGCACAGUAAGAUCUUUCUCUUACGUGUUGCUAGUUGCGUACGGUUUAGGAAUACAUCGCAAUCUACUUUUUCGUGGGGAAUAACGUAGGGAAACUUACUCUAAUACCGCAUAGGACCUACGUUUUAAAGCAGGGGAUCUUCGGACCUUUCGCGAUUGAAUGAGCCGAUGUCGGAUUAGCUAGUUAGCGGGUUAAAGGCCCACCAAGGCGACGAUCCGUAGCUGGUCUGAGAGGAUGAGCAGCCACACUGGAAAUGAGACACGGUCCAGACACCUACGGGAGGAAGCAGUGGGGAAUCUUGGACAAUGGGCGCAAGCCUGAUCCAGCCAUACCGCGUGGGUGAAGAAGGACUUCGGGUUGUAAAGUCCUUUUGUCGGGAAAGAAAAGCAGCAGGUUAAUACCCCGCUGUUCUGACGGUACCAAAAGAAUAAGCAGGGGCUAACUUCGUG
rnacentral:rRNA from 1 species